UACGUAGGGGGCAAGCGUUUGUCCGGAUUUAUUGGGCGUAAAGAGCGUGUAGGCGGUUUGGUAGGUCCGCUGUGAAAACUCGAGGCUCAACCUCGAGACGCCGGUGGAAACCAUCAGACUAGAGUCCGGAAAGAGGAGAGUGGAAUUCCGUGGUGUAGCGGUGAAAUGCGCAGAUAUCAGGAAGAACACCCGUGGCUAAGGCGGCUCUCUAGUACGGUACUGACGCUGAGACGCGAAAGCGUGGGGAGCGAACAGG
rnacentral:rRNA from 1 species